rnacentral:lncRNA from 1 species
UUGUGUUUCACUAACUCCGUUAGGUUUGGGCGACAGAGGAACAGAUGUGCAGCCAGAGUUCUUUUUUAUUUGCUUAUUAUAUUUUUAGACAGGGCCUCACUUGAAGUGCAGGCUCAUCUCAAUGCAUAAUCCUUCUGCUUCUGCCUCUUGCUGGGAUUAAAGAUAUGCAGUGCGUCUGGCCUGCCAGAGUUCAUCUCUCCUGUCAUCUUCAAAAAUUCCCUAGGCAAAUAUUAUCCCAGAGACUCAGAAGAAAAGCCUAAAUAAUUCGGUAUUUGUUAGAGCCUAGUAAUGACAGAUUUGAGAAUACAAUAAUAGUCCUCCAUCUUGGUGGAAAGAAACGCGGAGACUGUCAUGUGACUCCUCCCCUGUGCAGCGCUGAGUCCUGUUCUUCUGGCGCCUUCACCUGUGGACGGCUUUACAGGCGAGACCUUGGUUUGGGCGGUUUGAGGCAAGCAGAGGGGAAUGUGGAAACAGCAGUUUGGGCUGUAGACUUUUUGUCUUUUUUUUUUUAAGAUUUAUUUAUUUAUUAUAUGUAAGUACACUGUAGCCGGCUUCAGACUCACCAGAAGAGGUCAUUAGAUCUCAUUACAGAUGGUUGUGAGCCACCAUGUGGUUGCUGGGAUUUGAACUCAGGACCUUCAGAAGGGCAGUCAAUGCUCUUAACCGCUGAGCCACCUCUCUAGCCCCAGGCUUUUCCUCUUAGUGAGUCAUUUUUCCCUGGUCCUCCCAGAAUGACAGGGGUCAGGUUAACCUGCUGACAGUCUCACUUUAAAGGAGCUAUAGCUCUUCCUCUCUCUGCUGUGAUAUGACAUGACCUCGUGAGGCCGGCCUGCCUUUCUCCACCCACCCCCAUCCUCUUCUCUUGCUAACCUAUUUCCCAAAUCUUGUGUUUCAACAUUCCUGAUUAGGUGCAGAACAUCGAGGGUCUCACAGGCUGUAUUUGUAAUGCACACGCUUGGCAUGUUACUGUAGAAUAAUAAGACAGUCUUGGUUGGGCGUGGCGGUGCACACUUUUAAUCUCAGCAACUGAGAGGUCUCUGUGAGCCUGAAUCCCAUGACUUCAUAAGCCACACAUUCAAAGAAAAUGUACAUACGUGAAGGCAUCCUGUCACAGCCACAGAUGUAACACCAUCGCUGCUGCUUCUGUACCUGUGCUGGGUCUGAGAUUACAAGUUCUCAGAACCCAUCCUGUUUCCAGGCGCCUUUGCAGGUUUGUCUCCCAUUGAAGAGGGCGAGGCUAGAGCCACACAUCAGGGUCUCUAAAGGUGACCCCAAGAAGCCAAGGGACAAGAUGUCUCCACCUGCCUCCUUUAGGCAGACAUGCAGAGAAGAGGGUAAGACGGUCUGGGCAGUGAGUCCUGCUCUGUUUCCCAGAAUGGCUGAAGAAGCACCCUGAGAUGUUGGACAGCAAUGUAGGAAGAGAGAAAGGGUACCACGGGGAAGUGAAGGACUCUGGAGCAGCUCAGGGAGAGAAGAAGGGCAUGCAUGCCUCUAGAUGGUCUAGCUCCUUCCUGUUCUGAUAAGAACUGCACCCGCCCCAAGUCAAGUCCACAAACACUGGCUUGUCUAUUGCAGGCAAGCUGUGGGGGACACAAUACUGAGAAGCAGCCCUGUUGUAGCAAGACACGUGCUAGGGAAGAGUGGUGGGCAGCAGCUGCAAACUGAACGGUGGAUAGAUCAGAGAGGCUCCCCAGAGAUGCCUGGAGGGGCUCCCUGUAGCCUGGAGAGUGGUGGAAAGGGAACUUGAACUAAGGAAAACAUGGUCUUAUAUAUAUGAGAAUUUAUCAAAGCAUAAAUAAAGCCUGUCAAAUAAUGUCCUUUUUGUAACCAGACACAAAUGUACUAAAGUGUCUAUCUCAAGAACUGUUUCCUCUUCCCUCUGCCUCCCCCAUAUUUUCUUCUUUUUAAUACUUUUUACUUAUUCUUUGACAGCUUUAUAAAGUACAUAAACUAUUUGGAUCACCCUAGCCCCGUCUUCCUUCUCUUACCCUGUCCCACUUUCAUGGGUUUUUCCCAGUGAUCCACGGAGUUUAAUGAAGGCCACACGCAUAAGCAUGGGCGGGGCGGGGGUUCCGGAGCAUGGGCGCUGGACUCCUGCUUACACCGUGACAGAAGACUUACUUUCUUCCCUCGCAGCUGUGACCUGCCAGUCGUUCCUCAGCUAGGGCUGGGUUUGUGAGUCCCUCCCCCGCUGCCCUGGGAUGUUAAGGGGGCCCUGGCUGCUGUGAGCCAUGAGUGCCGUGGCCAGCACCGUCUUUCCUUGACCAGGUAUUUUUGAUACCACACUCAUGCUAAAAA